rnacentral:piRNA from 1 species
UGAACAGUUUCUGUGCCAGGAACACGAGGU